rnacentral:rRNA from 1 species
UCAAGCGAAAAAGAGCACAAGGGGAAUGCCUUGGCACUGGGAGCCGACGAAAGACGCGAUAAGCUGCGAUAAGCCGUGGGGAGCCGCAAAUAGGCAUCGAUCCACGGAUUUCUGAAUGGGGAAACCCAUACGGAGUAAUGUCCGUAUAACGUAUACUGAAUUCAUAGGUAUACGUGGGGAACCGCCCGAACUGAAACAUCUAAGUAGGGCGAGGAAAAGACAUCAACAAGAGAUUCCGCUAGUAGUGGCGAGCGAACGCGGAGCAGGCCAAACCGGGGGUAGUAAUAUCCUCGGGGUUCGGACAGCGAACGCUAUCUUAACGGUUAGGUGAAGCGCAUGGGAAGGCGCACCGCAGGGGGUGAGAGUCCCGUAACCGAAAACUGAAGAGAGGCAGCUGUAUCCAGAGUACCGCCGGACACGUGAAACCCGGUGGGAAGACGGGGGGACCACCCUCCAAGCCUAAAUACUACCCAGUGACCGAUAGUGAAGCAGUACCGUGAGGGAAAGGUGAAAAGAACCCCGUGAGGGGAGUGAAAGAGAACCUGAAACCUUGUGCUUACAAACACUCAAAGCACGUUCAAGUGUGAUGAGGUACUUUUUGUAGAACGGUCCGGCGAGUAAAUCUUUGCAGCAUGGUUAAGGUGUAGAAGCACCGGAGCCGCAGGGAAACCGAGUCUGAAUAGGGCGAUAAGUUGUAAGGAUUUGACCCGAAACCUGGUGACCUAUCCAUGUCCAGGCUGAAGUGGCAGUAAAAUGCCAUGGAGGGCCGAACCCACGUUCGUUGAAAAGACCGGGGAUGAGGUGUGGAUAGCGGAGAAAUUCCAAUCGAACCAGGAGAUAGCUGGUUCUCCCCGAAAUAGCUUUAGGGCUAGCCUCGGAUUAGAUUAGCGGAGGUAAAGCACUGAAUGGGCUAAGGGCCGAUAAGGUUACUGAACCCUAUCAAACUCUGAAUGCCGCAUAAUUGAUGUCCGGGAGUCAGACAGUGUGAGAUAAGUUUCAUUGUCAAAAGGGAAACAGCCCAGACCUACAGCUAAGGUCCCUAAUAUACGCUAAGUGGAAAACGAUGUGAAGUUGUCCAAACAACCGGGAUGUUGGCUUAGAAGCAGCCACACAUUCAAAGAGUGCGUAAUAGCUCACCGGUCGAAUGACUUUGCGCGGAAGAUAUAACGGGGCUAAGCGUAUAACCGAAGCUUAGGCUGACGAACAAUUAACAAUUAACAGUUAACAAUUAACAAUUACGAGGAUGAGAAUGAGAGAUAAUGCGUUGCUGGAAAAGAGCAAGAAGUUUGCGGUACGGAUCGUUAAGCUGUAUCAGUAUCUGGAGAGCGAAAAACACGAAAGAGUGUUGGCGAAGCAGGUAUUGAGAAGCGGAACCAGUAUCGGGGCGAAUGUUCAUGAGGCGGUGUAUGGUCAAAGCAGAAGGGAUUUUACGGGGAAGAUGAGCAUAGCGCUCAAGGAAGCCGUGGAAACCGAAUACUGGCUCGGGUUGUUGGUUGAAACCGGUUAUUUGAGCAAUGAACAAUACGAAAGCGUAAAAGCGGAUAUUUCCGAGAUAGCGAAGCUCUUGACUAGCAUAGUAAAGACUAUGCGCUCGGAAUAAUUGUUCAUUGUUAACUGUCAAUUGUUAAUUGUUCGUCGGGGUAGGGGAGCGUUGAAUACGGGGCGAAGCAUUACCGUAAGGAGAUGUGGACUGUAUUCAAGUGAGAAUGCCGGAAUAAGUAGCGCGAAUUAUGUGAGAAUCAUAAUGGCCGAAAAUCUGAGGUUUCCUGGGGAAGGUUCGUCCUCCCAGGGUAAGCCGGAAGCUAAGGCGAGGCCUGACGGCGUAGCCGAUGCACAUACGGUGGAAAUUCCGUAGCCGCCGACAUUUAAGCCACGAGGACACUUGGGAAUAGCCGAACCCCGGCGUUGGUUGACCGGGGCGAAAGGGACCGAAAUUAGAGUAGGGAAGUCGGCGAUGUUCUGAGGCGAGAAAAGCCGUGGUGUAUACUAAGGCGUCCGUACCGCAAACCGACACAGGUAGAUGAGGAGAGAAUCCUAAGGCCAACGGGAGAAGGGUUGUCAAGGAACUCGGCAAAUUAACCCCGUAACUUCGGGAUAAGGGGUGCCCUCGAGAGAGGGCCGCAGUGAAUAGGCCCAAGCGACUGUUUAUCAAAAACACAGGUCUCUGCAAAGUCGAAAGACGACGUAUAGGGGCUGACGCCUGCCCGGUGCCGGAAGGUUAAGAGGAGAGCUUAGCAGCAAUGCGAAGGUUUGAAUUGAAGCCCCGGUAAACGGCGGCCGUAACUAUAACGGUCCUAAGGUAGCGAAAUUCCUUGUCAGGUAAGUUCUGACCCGCACGAAUGGCGUAACGAUUUGGGCACUGUCUCGACAGCCCGCCCGGCGAAAUUGUAGUAUUGGUGAAGAUGCCAGUUACCCGCAACUAGACGGAAAGACCCCAUGGAGCUUCACUGUAGCUUGAUACUGGAUUCUGGUACUUCAUGUACAGGAUAGGUGGGAGACUAGGAAGGCAGGGCGCCAGCUUUGCCGGAGUCGACCUUGGGAUACCACUCUUGGAGUGCCGGAAUUCUAACCUACAGCCCUGAAUCGGGCUGGGGGACACUGUCAGGUGGGCAGUUUGACUGGGGCGGUCGCCUCCGAAAGAGUAACGGAGGCGCUCAAAGGUUGGCUCAGCACGGACGGAAAUCGUGCGAAGAGCGCAAACGCGUAAGCCAGCUUGACUGCGAGGCCGACGGGCCGAGCAGGUACGAAAGUAGGAGUUAGUGAUCCGGCGGUAGUACGUGGAAAUGCCGUCGCUCAACGGAUAAAAGCUACCCUGGGGAUAACAGGCUGAUCUCCCCCAAGCGUCCACAGCGACGGGGAGGUUUGGCACCUCGAUGUCGGCUCGUCACAUCCUGGGGCUGUAUUCGGUCCCAAGGGUUCGGCUGUUCGCCGAUUAAAGUGGCACGCGAGCUGGGUUCAGAACGUCGUGAGACAGUUCGGUCCCUAUCUAUUGCGGGCGCAGGAGAUUUGAAGGGAGCUGUCCUUAGUACGAGAGGACCGGGAUGGACGCACCUCUGGUGCACCAGUUGUCCUGCCAAGGGCACAGCUGGAUAGCUACGUGCGGACGAGAUAAACGCUGAAAGCAUAUAAGCGUGAAACUUCCCCUGAGAUAAGAUCUCCCACAGCAGAAAUGCUGGACAGACCCCACAAGGACUAUGUGGUUGAUAGGCCGGCGAUGUAAGCGCAGUAAUGUGUUGAGUCUACCGGUACUAAUGGGUCGAGAGCUUGACCU